rnacentral:lncRNA from 1 species
GGGGACUCCGUGUGCGCGACUAGGUGCUCUCCUGGGGCUGGCAGGGGCAUCUGUCCCUUUACCGGUGCAAUGGGGAGGGUGCACACGGUUCACCAGCUUUCGGGCUAGCUGGGUAGGAGGUGAUGCUGCCCCGGUCUGGCACCCACUCCCCCGGGCCUCUCCUAACCCAUAGGACAGUAGUGCUCCUGGCUUGUGCUGCCCAGAGGCUACCUGGCUUUCCCUAAUUCACCGACCCCAGGAUUAACCCCAUGGUGGUUGGUAUCAGGGGAUGAGGCCAGAGCCCUUUGAGCUGUGCCCCUCACAGGGGUAGGGUCAUGGCCUCAGCCAUCCCGGUACCAUCUGUGCCCAGCCGGGGACUGGGAACCUGGUUUCUCCAUGAGGAGCCAUCCCAGGGCCUGCAGGAGGGACUAGAAGCCAGAGGACUCUGAGGCUCCGCUUCCUGGGGACUGCAGGGGGAUCAGAAUGUCCCAAGCUUGGGACAGUCUGGGAAGGCAGUGGCCAUCCCAUCCAGAUGAGUACAUCCCUCUCUCCUUGCCUACUUCCCUCCUACCAGCCGUCGCGGAGGCCACUGAUCCUGUGUGGUGUUCACCCCAGGACGUGGGAGGCUGCUCUGUCCCUCUGGCCUUAGUUUCCACAUCUGUAUGGUGGGGUUGGGGGGCAUGAGUCAGCUUCUGUUGGCCAGCUUACUGCCCCCUGUGCCCCAAGGCAGCCCCACCCGGAGGAAGCUCCCUGCUUCCCUCCUGGUCUCCACAGCCCUCAUCAGCCCUGUUUGUGUCAGGGGCUGGAUGUGGCAAAACUUGCAAAACCGCAUUCAUGGCAGUUACACAUCUGCACGCAGGGUUCCCUCGCUGCCUGGGGCUGGGCAGGUAGGUGUCCGGUGGGAAGCGGGCCCUGCCUGCAGGACUCAGCCCAGCCCUCAAAACCUGGCACCCAGCUGGCACCCAGGCCACAUCCCUCAGCGGCACAGUUAAUUGAAAAUGCAGCUUUGAGGAGUGCAAUGUCUGGGGAAAGACUGUUCCCAGAGGGGCAGGAGCAUCUGGGGCCUCUGGUGGCUCCCAGGGUCCCCAUGGGAGGAGCCCUGUGCCCUCCACUCCCAAGUCUCAGUUGUGCCAUCUGUAAAGUGGGGGCCGCCAGGGAGGCUGGAGGAAGGUGACGGGACUUCAGGCCUUGGAAUGGGGCUGAGUGAGGGGUUCACAUGGCCACCCCAUCCCUCUCCACGCUCCACCCGCUGGCUGCAUCCACCAGGCGGUGUUUCUGGGUCACAUUUGCUGCAAUUCAGGUGCUAAUGGGGGCAGGAGGCUGCAGGGGGAGGGGCCGGUGUCUAGUGGGGCAGAUGUUUCUCAAUGGAGAAUGCUCACAGCGGCCUGCAGAGGGGGUCUGGUGUGGCCUGGGGCUCCUGGGGUUGGGAUUUACACAGUGAGCCUGGGCUUUGGGGCACAGCUGCUGCUGACAGAGGGUCUUGGGGUCUGGGAAGGUGCUUAAAGCCCGGCCCCCAUGCCUGAGCUCCCACACCCCUGUUUAGGGACACCCAGAUAGGGUGUCUCCUGCAGGAAAUUCCCCACAUAAUUCAUUUAUUUAAAAAAUAUUUUUUGCCGGGCACGGUGGUUCAUGCCUGUAAUCCCAGCACUUUGGGAGGCCAAGGUGGGCGGAUCAUGAGGUCAAGAGAUCAAGACCAUCCUGGCCAACAUGGUGAAACCCCAUCUCUACUAAAAAUACAAAAGUUAGCCAGGUGUGGUGGCACGUGCCUGUAGUCCCAGCUACUCGGGAGGCUGAGGCAGGAGAAUCACUUGAACUAGAAGGCAAAGGUUGCAGUGAGCCCAGAUAACGCCACUGCACUCCAGCCUGGUGACAGAGCGAGACUCCGUCUCAAAAAAAAAAAAAAAAAAAAUCUAAAUAGCCUCCCACCCAUACCCCCUGAUCGAGGGCAGGCCCCAGGAGCCAGGCUGGAUUUCUGGGUGUGCUGGGCCUGGGAGGGCCAGGAAGUCAAGCUGGCAUUAGGGGAGUGGGCCUGAGGGGUGGCGGUAGGGGCACCUCGGCGGCUUGAAGCUCCAAGUCUGGGCCUGGGACUUGGCAGGGCCCCGAGAACCCCUCAAAUACUUGUGGGGCUCCCUCACUGGCCCUUGCGCAAGAGCAGCCUCCGUUUCCUGGGACAGGCCUCCCCACCCCUGCAGGGCCUCAGCCAGGACAUAGCAAAUCCCAGCGCCUCCCUCUGGGGCUCCUCAGUUCCCAGUCACCAAGGACCUCUGGAGCCUGCUGAGCUGACACACACAGGAAAGGGCUCCAGGCUCGCUCUGUCUCCCCCACCUGUCCUGGCCUUUCUGAGCGCCCCCAUCUCUGUCUUCUGCCGACCAGCUGACCCUGAGCAAGUCACUUCCUACCUUCAUUUCCCUGCCUGUAAGACAGCA